UACGGAGGGGGCUAGCGUUGUUCGGAAUUACUGGGCGUAAAGCGCACGUAGGCGGCUUUGCAAGUUAGAGGUGAAAGCCCGGGGCUCAACUCCGGAAUUGCCUUUAAAACUGCAUCGCUAGAAUUGUGGAGAGGUAAGUGGAAUUCCGAGUGUAGAGGUGAAAUUCGUAGAUAUUCGGAAGAACACCAGUGGCGAAGGCGACUCACUGGACAUGUAUUGACGCUGAGGUGCGAAAGCGUGGGGAGCAAACAGG
rnacentral:rRNA from 1 species